rnacentral:misc_RNA from 1 species
ACGACUUCUCACUACUGUCAUGUGAGCCCUUUGCUCCAGUAAAUCUCUGUGGUAUGCCUGUAUCACGAAAUUUCGCCUCUCACAAUCCAAAAACAUGUUGACGUUCCAGCUAACUUUUGCCAUCAAUUUGUCCCUGACAGUGGAAAAGCUCAGUUGGUCCCUAGAGGUAAAACGGUCAACUUCAUUGAACCACAGACAGGUGAACAGAUUUGUGAUGGGAAUAUGCUCCUUUAUAAUAACACAUCCUUCGGGAACAUCACUGGUAAUAGGAAGCUUAGCCUCUGAAUAUGCAGUUAAACCUUCUUUCUUGUAGAAAUCAAUUUGGUGGUCGAUGGAUACAUUAUCAUACUUCCCUGCAGCUUUAUUAGCUUCAGCUUCUUCAAAGACGUCAAA